GACUGCGCUUCUGCUCAUUAGGACUACGCCGCCCACUGUGGCCGCCGCUUUUGCUCGCUCCGACCACAUGGCCGCCGCUUCCGCUCGCUUCAAAGACGCUGCCGGUUCCGCCGGGGCCCCGCGGAAAGCGCCGUCUCGGCUUCCGUAGAGGCGCGCACACCAAUAGCGUCAUAGCGACUGGCUGCAGCACCACCCCCUCUUAAAGGGGCCGCGGCUCGGACUGCACAGAAGCAGCUUCGCGUUGCGGCACAGGCUGAGCCUCUGCCCAGCCCCAGCGGUAGACCAAAGAGAGGACUCUAGAAACCUGAACCCGCCCCCCUUCAGCUCCCCACUCCCUGGCAAAGGGCUCCAGCUGCUCUGGAUGAUGAGGAAGCCGGGCACCUCUGACAAGGGUCUUGCAUGCAGGCUGGAGUGCGGUGACACGGUCACAGCUCACUGCAACCUUGACCUACUGGAUUCAAGGGCCUUCCCACCUCAGCUUCUCAAGUAAUUGGGACCACAGCUGUUGGCUGGACACAGUGGCUUACAUCUGUAAUUCCGGAAUUGGGGAGGCUAAGGUGGGUGAAGUGCUUGAACCCAGAAGUUUGAGACCAGCCUAGGCGACAUGGCAAAACCGAGUCUCUACAUCUCGACACAAACAAACAAACCUGAAAUUAGCCGGUCAUCUGCAGUCCCAGCUAUGUACUCAGGAAACUAAGGCCAGCGGAUCUGUUGAGUCCUGGAGAUCGAGGCUGCAGUGAGCCACGAUCAUACCACUGCACUCCAGCCUGGGCAACAGAAAGAGACCCUGUCUCAAAAAAUAAUAAAGUACAUAAAUAAAUAAAUAAACUGUUGAUUGGGAGCCGUGUAUGCACCAGGCCCUAAGCGGGGCAUGAUGAGAUGGGAUGAAGAGUCUGGAGACUUGGGAAAGGCUGCACCUCUGGAGGGAGGCCGCAGCUUCUCCUUCAUCAAAGAGGUCC
rnacentral:lncRNA from 1 species